AACGCAUAAAGCGGAAAGCCGAGUUUACUGAAGAUGGAGCCUUACUCUGCAACUUAGCAGAAAACUUUAAGGCAAGCGAUAUUUGUAGUGAUGCUAAAGAAACUUGCAACAACUGGUUCAACAAAAUUGGUGUUGUGCAAGAGCUUCUUUCACGCAUGUAAAGUCCUUAUCCUUUUCUCUGUAUUUAAUGUAUUCUAUGUUUCUUUUCGUGAAAUUUUUUUUGUAGGUCUUGUUGAUGUAUGUUUCUGAAUGUUUUAUUCCAUCUAUUCAUUCUAAUGUCUUCAUCAUCACACU